rnacentral:rRNA from 1 species
UACGUAGGUGACAAGCGUUGUCCGGAUUUACUGGGCGUAAAGAGCGCGCAGGCGGUCGAUCAAGUCGAGUGUGAAAGCCCCCGGCUCAACUGGGGAGGGUCAUUCGAUACUGAUCGACUCGAAGGCAGGAGAGGGUAGUGGAAUUCCCGGUGUAGUGGUGAAAUGCGUAGAUAUCGGGAGGAACACCUGUGGCGAAGGCGGCUUUCUGGGCCUUACCUGACGCUGAGACGCGAAAGCGUGGGGAGCGAGCCGG